rnacentral:rRNA from 1 species
GUGCCAGCCGCCGCGGUAAUACCGGCAGCCCGAGUGAUGGCCGAUCUUAUUGGGCCUAAAGCGUCCGUAGCCAGCCGAACAAGUCCGUUGGGAAAUCCACCCGCCCAACGGGUGGGCGUCCGGUAGAAACUGGCCGGCUUGGAACCGGAAGGCGCGACGGGUACGUCCGGGGUAGGAGUGAAAUCCCGUAAUCCUGGACGGACCGCCGAUGGCGAAAGCACGUCGCGAAGACGGAUCCGACAGUGAGGGACGAAAGCUAGGGUCUCGAACCGGAUUAGAAACCCGAGAGUCC